UUUAUGUGUUAAACUGCCUUUUCCUCCCCAGGUUCAAGGGCAGACGGGGUUUUUGAGGAGGAUUCGCAAAUUGACAUAGCCACAGUACAGGAUAUGCUUAGCAGCCACCAUUACAAGUCAUUCAAAGUCAGCAUGAUCCACAGACUGCGAUUCACAACCGACGUACAGCUAGAUGUUGUUUAUCAGCCACUGCGCUUCCUCCCUCUGGGCCCGGACCUAACCUCAGAAUUUGUUCCAACACAGUCCUAUAAGCAACCCCUACCCAUCAAUUGAAGUAGGUGUGCACUCUUCCCGGGGGUGCUCAGGAAGAGGGCUGCUCCCGUGGACUGCCUCAGGCCGAGUGCUGACACAUGGCGGCAGGAGCAGAUAGGGUGCUGCGGUGCUGCCUGCGCUGCCUUAAGAAGCUGAGACUCACACAAGUGUUAAGAGGGUAUCUCUGGAGACAAAGUAGAGAUAGACCCUGUUACGAAUCAGAAAGCCAGCACUAAGUUUUGGAUUAAGCAGAAACCCAUCUCAAUCGAUUCCGACCUGCUCUGUGCCUGUGACCUUGCUGAAGAGAAAAGCCCCAGUCACGCAAUAUUUAAACUCACGUAUCUAAGCAAUCACGACUAUAAACACCUCUACUUUGAAUCGGACGCUGCUACCGUCAAUGAAAUUGUGCUCAAGGUUAACUACAUCCUGGAAUCGCGAGCUAGCACUGCCCGGGCUGACUACUU
rnacentral:lncRNA from 10 species